GACGAUGUGGCCGAGCGGUCUAAGGCGCUGGUUUCAGGUACCAGUCUACUUCGGUAGGCGUGGGUUCAAAUCCCACCGUCGUCA